ensembl:lncRNA
GCCGGCCCCGCCCCCGCGGGGGGGGAGCGAGCGCUCGCGGGCCCCGUGGUGGGUUCGGCUGCGCGGCGGGGCUGAGGCGGCCGCGAAGGUCCGAGCGCAGAAAGUGGACACUGGGUUCCUGAACCUCCUCACUGAAGACAGCCAGGCCUCAAGCACAGGGGGACUUCGAAAGUCAUAGUGAGACCCUGCUUUUGUCCUUCCACCCUGGACCCAUCACUACCGACACAGAAAUUUCCUUCAGGCCCAGGAAGAGACCCAAACUCUACAUGGAUGGCCUGCCCAUUUUUGACCACACCUGCCUGGCUCCAGCUAUGGAUCCUCCAUCCACUCUGCUCUGACCACCUGCAUCUUUGCCUGAACUCCAGGGUAGAGUGGUGCUGCUUCUUGGAAAAACUGAAAAAGGGCCCCGUGGCUUCUCCACCCCUGUGCUUGUCUGAGCCUGGUGUUUCAUUUCCAUGGGUUCCACCACUGAUUUGGGAAGGAAAGAGUGUCUUUCUUCAUCGAGGACCUCUCUGGACGACAGGGGCCCAAAGCUGAUGGCAGACAAUGUCAGCCACUAACAACAUAGCCCAGGCUCGGAAGCUGGUGGAGCAGCUCCGCAUCGAGGCCGGGAUCGAGCGCAUCAAGGUCUCCAAAGCCUCAUCUGAACUCAUGAGCUACUGUGAGCAGCACGCCCGGAAUGACCCCCUGCUCGUGGGAGUCCCUGCCUCCGAGAACCCCUUUAAGGACAAGAAGCCUUGUAUUAUCUUAUAGCUUUGUUUUCUUGCGCUCAACUCCUCCCCGACACCCAGCCUCCAGUCAGGGCGCCAUUCAGUACAGAGUCCAGCAAAACUCUUAAUUCCAAAAGAAAUGCAAAAAGUUGCCACUGCCCAGAUGGGUUAAGAUGGAUCCUCUGAUUUCAGAUGGAUUUUCAGACCCCGCAAUGCAGCCCCCUUAAGGGCCGGGCUUCUGCACCGCUUCCGAUUGGAAAUAACUGAAAUGCCCAAGUGGUGUGCUAACAGUUUUUGAAAACUGAGUUGACCUUUGGGUUGUGGCUCAGAGCCGAGCUGGGCCAGGGUAUGGGAAGGAGGUGGGUGAACUAGCCGCUGGCCUGGGCAACCCGGCCAGGUGGCAAGUCUCACACUGUUGGCCGUUUGUGAUGACUUCUGCCAGGUUGAUGAUGUGAUGCUUUUUUUUGGGGGGGGGGCUCUCAAGCAGAAUAAGAUUGGGUGGGGGCUGGGAAGGGACAUAAUGACCUUUUGGGGGGGAAGUUUUUCUCCCUUUCAUUUGAAAACUUGUUAUUCCAAACCGCUAAAAUCAGAUUACAUCGGCUGAACCUAGAGCUAAACUGGAUUGUGUGACAUUGCACAUGUGGAUUUUAGGGGCCGGGAGGGGGGCUUUGCCUGUGAAAUGCAUCCCUGUCACCCAGGGUCACCCUGUUGUGUGGCUUUUGUAUGGCAUGUGCCACCCGACAGCCAUGCCGCGGCCCCUGCCCUUUCCUGGGCACCCCGCCCGUCCCAGAAAUGGGUUUUCAGCCCAGGGGUCUGGUCACUGUGCCUGCCAGCUGUGUUUUCUUUUGUUUUAAGCACGAGACAUCGGCGUGGGCAGUUAGAGGCUGUGGUCAUAUUCGGCUCCUCUGUGUUUUGUUUUGCUUUGUUUUUCUCCACUUUCUGCAUCUCCAAGGCCAUUUUUCAAACAGAAAUGCAGCCUGGGGAGGCCUACGCGCAGUGAGUAGGGCUGCCUGGUGCUUCAGGGUGUAACAAGGUGUGAGAUUAUCUGGAAGUAGCUGUGAAGGCCGGGGAGUUCGAGAGACACUCUCAGUGCUCCCUCUGCACUAUCGCCCUACCACGUGGAGCGUCUGAUCUGCGGGAGGAAAUGAGGUGUGUCUCCCAACAUCCUUGGAAAUGUGAGGUCCUAGAGUUGACCGUUGGGGACAGGACAGAGGCUUUUUUACAAUUGCUGUUUCCUCUGUUGUGACAAGGACAGUUAAAGGAUGGGAGGCAGGAGGACAGGCCCAACGCACACCUGCCCUCACCUGCCAGCACUACCAACAGCUGCCGGGACUCCCGCCCUGAGCUCUGGGUCCAGCUGCCUGCAACCUGGGAGGAGGUCAGAAUCCCAGGCCUAGAAGGAGCAUCCUGGGCAGCCGGCAGAAGGCACUUGGGGCCAGGCCCAGAGCCCCGAGCUCCCCUCGUGCCCCUGGGUCUCAGACCUUGCAUGGCUGCACCUCGCAGCCGGCCCACACAGGGUGCAGACCAAGGCCAACUUUCUCCCUGGCAUCCAGCUCUCUCCGGCCGGUCCGGGAGCACCUGGGGCCUGGGGAGUCUGGCUUCUCUGAAGCAGCACUUGGGCGGGGAGGGUCCGCAAAGCCCCCCCACGAUGCUGCCCCCUCUCACUGCACAGGGAGCCUGCACUCUGACAGAGCAGCAGGACAAACGAAGCUCAUUCUAGAAACCCCGGGCAUGCCCAGUUGGGGGCAGGGCAUGGCGGGACUGAAGCCAAGGGGCAGAGGGGGGCAGCUGGCAGAGCGCAUCUGCCAGCGAGGACCCCCCCACCAGCUUUCUGCUGACUGGUAACUGUUUGGUCUGGGUCAGAAGCCUUAAUCCCUUGAGCCCAAGCCGGGGCCAUGCACUCCUGGCCCCCGAGAGCAGGAGGGGUCCUGAUCAGCGUCAGGAGAGCCCCAGGGCCCAGACCUCCCCUCUCUCUCCACCCCCUGCCCUGCCAGCUGUGCCAAGCCCAGCCCCACUGCGUGUCCCCACCCAAGUGACCCGAGCAGCCAGUGGGAAGCAAAGCCCAGGACCCCUGGCUGAGGGGUGGGAGGAACUUGAGUUCAGCGGCCACAUCGUCCCCUCCUGGGCCAGGGGUCCCCUAGUGGGAAUGCCAGGGGCCCAGCUGUCUUGGUAAACUGAGGCUCCUGGAAGGUUUGGACCACUGUCCUCCCCAUCCACCCACCCAAGGCCACCCCUGCCCAAGCACCACAGUCUCGGAGCCCGGGGGGGGGCUGUCAGCAAGGCCCCACUCUGGGCUUCUUUCUAGCCAAGAAAAAGGGCCUCUUUCUUCCCUUCCUUUCCUCCUUGUAGAGUAAUCGUCAGUGUCCCUAAUGCAGGCUUGAAGCAUCAGUGCCCACGUGACAGUGUGUUCUGCUUGUGGUUUCCUUGUGCACGUGUCGGCAUGAAAACACGUUUUGAGGGUAUUUUGGCGGCCGUAAGUGCCCCCAUGAGGCCAGGAGUGGACCUUGGGGAAACCAGCAUGUCUCAAGCACGUCACAGGGGAGUGAAGGAAACACAAGAAGGCAGGGCUGGGUGACUUGGAGUCUCCCUCCUCCCACAGCCUCCUCUCCCCUCCCCCUUUCUCUCCCAAGGUGUCCCCCAGCCCGAGAAUUAAGUGACUGGGUUGUGACCUCUGGCCCACGGGAUGGGGACACAAACCUCUGGGCCGGGCAGAAGGUGCUCUUUCUUCCUUUGAUGUCCCGGCCACUCUGUCCAGACGUCGCUGGGCCUCCAGGCAGCUCAUCCAUCUCGAGCUGCAGGCAGGCAGGAAAAGGCCAUCGGACCCCUGAUCCCAGCAUGAGUGACCAGAGGCAGUUUCCGGGACACGGUGAGGCCACCAAAGGUCGCUCGUCCUUCAAGAGCCUAUGCGGGGUCCUCUGAAAAGAAGCCAUAUGUCAAUACCCUGCCCCUUCCUUCUCUGUCUGCAGAGACCAUUGCCAAACAUUGUCAAGACCAGUUCCAGUUCUCAGAGCAAACUGUGCUUCUAGCAGAUUCUACCCCAACUGUGUUUGGAUGUCCAGUGGUUUUUAUUUCUGAUUUUAAAAAAAAAAUUCCAGGUGUGCCAUACCCACUUUCCUGCAGUGUUUUAAUAUUGUGUGGAAUUGUUAAUACCAAGUGAAUUAAUCCACAAUAAAAAGGCUCACUGUCCCUUUC